CCUACGGGAGGCAGCAGUGAGGAAUAUUGGUCAAUGGCCGAUAGCCUGAACCAGCCAAGUCGCGUGAGGGAUGACGGCCCUACGGGUUGUAAACUUCUUCUGUAGGGGAGUAAAGUGACUCAUGUAUUCCGCAUUGAAUGUACCCUAUGAAAAAGGAUCGGGUAACUCCGUGCCAGCCGCCGCGGUAAUACGGAGGAUGCGAGCGUUGAUCGGAUUUAUUGGGGUUAAAGGGAUCGUAGGCGGGAUGUUAAGUCAGUCGUUAAAUUGUCGGGCUCAACCCCCGAACUGCCGUUGAAACUGGCACCCUUGAGUGCGCGAGAGGUAGGCGGAAUGCGUGGUGUAGCGGUGAAAUGCAUAGAUAUCACGCAGAACUCCGAUUGCGAAGGCAGCAUACUGGCGCGUAACUGACGCUCAUGCACGAAAGCGUGGGUAUCGAACAGGAUUAGAUACCCGAGUAGUC
rnacentral:rRNA from 1 species